GAUCUGAAAAUGAAAAAUCAAGAUUUUUGUAGUAGACCUCCCCUAUAUCUGGCCUGUGAGGUUGUAUACUGUGACACAGCUGUUACUGCAAUCUAAUUGUGACGUCAAUGCAGUGACCAAGCACGGCAACACAUUUUUGCAUGUAACAUGUUAAUGCAUUGGCACCGUGAAUAUGUCAAAGUUUAAACCUGGUGUGAUGAAUAACCGGAGAAUGACAUCUCUGCAUUCAGCCUGUCAAGGUGGACACAGCAAGAUAGUAGGAGUGUUACAGCUGUCUAAACCUGACGUCAAUGUGAUGAAUAAUCAUGGAAAUGGAUCUCUGCAUUUGGUUUGUUGUGGUAGAGAUGUUCUUGAAGCCUGGCCUUGAUACCCAUUUUGCAGAUUCAAAUGGUAACAUGCCUCCACAUCUUGCUGUUCAAUGAUGGUGGCUCCCAAGGUAAUUAUUUACCCCAGGACUCAAUGUAUGUACCCUUACAAGAACAGAUCACC
rnacentral:lncRNA from 1 species